UAAAUUGGAUUAGUGGCGGACGGGUGAGUAACGCGUGAGUAACCUGCCUUACACAAGGGGAUAGCCGUUGGAAACGACGAAUAAUACCCUAUGACAUAAACUCUUCGCAUGAGGAGCUUAUCAAAGAUUUAUCGGUGUAAGAUGGACUCGCGUCUGAUUAGCUAGUUGGUGAAGGUAACGGCCCACCAAGGCAACGAUGGGUAGCCGGCCUGAUAGGGUGAACGGCCACAUUGGAACUGAGAAACGGUCCAAACUCCUACGGGAGGCAGCAGGG
rnacentral:rRNA from 1 species